rnacentral:rRNA from 1 species
GACGGACGCUGGCGGCAUGCCUAACACAUGCAAGUCGAACGGUAAGGCUUCCUUCGGGAGGUACACGAGUGGCGAACGGGUGAGUAACACGUGGGUAACCUACCCUUGACUGGGGGACAACCGAGGGCAACUUCGGCUAAUACCGCAUAACGUGCAUUGCCUCAAGGUGGUGUACCAAAGCUCCGGCGGUUAGGGAUGGGCCCGCGGCAGAUUAGCUUGUGGGUGGGGUAACGGCUUACCAAGGCGACGAUCUGUAGCUGGUCUGAGAGGACGAUCAGCCACACUGGACCUGAGACACGGUCCAGACUCCUGCGGGAGGCAGCAGUGGGGAAUCUUGCGCAAUGGGCGAAAGCCGGACGCAGCAAAGCCGCGUGAGGGAAGACGGCCUUAGGGUUGUAAACCUCUUUCAGCAGGGACGAACACAGACGGUACCUGCAGAAGAAGCCCCGGCUAACUACGUGCCAGCAGCCGCGGUAA